rnacentral:rRNA from 1 species
UACGUAGGGUGCUAGCGUUGUCCGGAAUUAUUGGGCGUAAAGGGUGCGUAGGCGGUUUGGUAAGUCUUAUGUGAAAUCUACAGGCUCAACUUGUAGUCUGCAUGAGAAACUGCCGGGCUUGAGUAUGGGAGAGGUGAGUGGAAUUCCUGGUGUAGCGGUGAAAUGCGUAGAUAUCAGGAGGAACACCUGUGGCGAAAGCGGCUCACUGGACCAUAACUGACGCUGAUGCACGAAAGCUAGGGGAGCAAACAGG